UUUUAUCUCGUUUCUCGGUUUUCGCGUAUUUUUUAUUAUUCGGCGGCCGCCCAAGGUUCCUCCGUUGGCUUCUCGUAUUUCCCUCCACGAUAUCGAAUUAACAUCCCAAAAUUAUUUAAGCGCAUAAAUAAAUCAUCGAUAUUAUUUCCCCUCGAAAUUUAUAUUUAUUUCGGCCUUGGAAAUAUUCUGGAAAUUUAUUAAACAAUUCCCCACAAUUAAUUCAAUUAUCAAUCCAAAUAUUUAUUUACAAAAAAUACAAAUUUAAUUAUUUCCCCACCUUAUAUCUCCAAUUAAAAUUUUAAAUGCCCAACAAAAUUUAAUUGAAGCCCAACUAACCAAAACAUCCCAUUUUAAUUUAAUAGGCCCACUUUCUUUAAACAAACAAAGGCCUAAUUUAAUAGUCCCUAACCCACCUAUUUAAAAAAAAGGCCCAACAAUAAAAAAAAAUAGCUAAAACUCCAAAAUGCUUUCUUCUCCAAAACUCAACACCGAUCUCUCUCUCCUCAAUUUCUUCCCAAUUGAGAAAUUCCAAAAAUUCAAAGAAACUAAUCUCUAUCUCUCUCUAUCUAAUUCGUCAACCCCAUUCUUUCCCAAAUUCACUUUCCUCAUCUCUUCUCUCUUAAUUCAGCCUCGCUCCUCAUUCUCAAAUCAACGGAGCUGCCGGAGUAAUUACCGCCGCCCCCUUCUCGCCGUCGCUGCCAAAGUCCAACCGCUGCCUCCGUCAGACGCCGGAAGAGCUGUUGCUGUCGCCGCCGGGAGCGCUGCUCCGUCGGUGGUCGUGCAGCCCCGAAACAUCACCGCAGCCCCCAACUUCAAACGGGACAGUCCCGAUUCACCUCCGAAUAGCCCCGACACUAACCCGAUUUCAACCGAACAGAUCGGUUCUCAUUCAAAAUAUAAUCGGUUCAAGUCCGUGGCUGCCCGCGCUGAAGUACCCAAUUUGCUUAGAGUGCGAUGUAUUAAAUUUUGUUGGAUGUAUCGGACAUUAAAAUUUUGAUUAUGGGUCUUGAUUCUUUUAUUAUA